CGUCAGACGAAUAAUUGAAUUACAGUGUAAGGCUAUAUCACUAUAUAUAAAAUAACUUUCCUGAAAGCAGUAAUAAAAGAAUUUUAAAUACGAAUUUAUCAGAAUUGAGAUUUCGUUUGUCUUUUAUAAGAUUUUUAUCUAUCUUCAUGUUGAGUAAACAGAAUCCUAAGAGACUUUCGAUAAUGCUGAUAUUAUCAAUCGAUUUUGAUAAUCGAGAAGUGCAUCUCGAGGAGUGAUCAUUGAUUUGAUGAUGAUUAAGAAAAUAUUUUUAAUUAGAUGCGACUUGAAUGACAUUAAUCUUUUAAUACUUCAUCUUUAAAACUCUUCAAUCUCUAUCUAUUCAUCCAAUUUGUGACGAUAUCAAUUAAUUAUCUAUAUGCGUCGACAGCUUUAAUAUUCUUAUCGAAAAUGUGACGUCGCAAAACACUUUUAAUUAAAUAAAAUCGCUUUGUUUAUCCAAAGCUUGUUUUCUCAAGUUGUUUUUAUUCUUUUUUAAAUUUAAUUUAAAACAAUAGUUGGAAGAAACAAACAAAUCUGAUAAUGAGAAUAAUACAUUAUUUUGCAGCCAUCUUUAAUGUUUAAAUGUGUGCAAUAGAUAUGCGUGUUGUGCUCGAUAUGUCUCACAUCUAUAAGAAAAUACGAAACAAAUCUUAUCUCGGUUUAUCUCGGCGGCAUAUUAUAUAGAAAUGAUGUCAAGUAACUCGUGACCAGCACGAAGUAUUAUCACAAUUAUAUCAUCACCAAAACAUUGACUGAAAGUUAUAAACAGUCCAGUACAAGGGUUAACGGUAUCUCGAUUGCUUCGGUAUCGACGUCGGCGAAUUGUUACUACGACGGAGCGAUCAAUUGUCUGAUAAUAUUCAGGAUAGCUUAUCUGAUUCAUCCAAUUUUUCCACUCAAUAUUAUUAAACUAUCGCAACAUACAAGGUAAUUAAUUUAUUUUCGUUUCAAUGUCUAGAUUUUCGUUAUGUCAAAAUAUCGCAUUUCCAUUUCAUUAAUCGUUCUUUAUUUCUACGUAUUUACCAAGAACAAAUCAAUGAAUGUCAAAAUAAAUCAGUGAACAAAUCAAUCCAGUGAGUUGUAAUCGAAUCCCGCAACAAGAAUAAAACGGAGAAAAAAAGGAGAAAGAACAAAACUUAAAAAUGAAUAAAGAUCGUCGUACGUAAUUGAUUGUUAAAUUUACAUUUUACGUUUAAUCGAUAUUUACUUUAUCCAUUUCAAAUAGAUUGACUGAUUUUUCUGCCAAGACGCGAUAAAAACUAGAAUGAUAGGCAAUGCGCUGUAAUGACGUGUAAUCAGGAAUGCAAUUACAAUCAAGACAAAACGUGAUGUGAAAUUGCAUUCAUUAACCUGGUCGGAGACGCACAGAAUACUUUGAUAGAUAUGAGUGCAUUCAGAAAUUGUAAAGUCGCAGACACGUCAAGGAACGAUAAAUUUCAACAAGACGACGCAAUCAGAGAAUCGCAUCAGCUGACAUUAAUUGACCGCCUGAUGCAUUCCAAAUGGUUUUCCCCGAGCAAUUCGCGCGACCGUUGUAAAAGCGAUAUCUCUGACGUAACGAAAGAAGCAUUGCGUGAAGAGAACGCGGUACCGCUUUGACUACGUCAGAGAUACCGCCUUAAUCAUCCAAUUCUGUGAUGAUACGCUACUGCUCGGUGAAUCGUAGCUUCAUUGAUUGCGACGCUCGUAAGCCGGGUCGACGGUCGUCAGGGGGAGAAGGGAAAAGAGAUUUCAAGUGGAACGUGCAUUUUCAGGGUUGGAAUAAGGGGUCGAAGUGCCCCAGGGGCACUCACGUUCCGAUAGUCUUUCCCACGUAAAGUCCGUUUGCGUUAGGAGCUGUUGCAGCAACAGAUGAUAAUGCACUUCCGAUUAAAAUCACUUCAGUGUUUGGGCUACAAACCUCUGCGAAUGUUUUUGAGAUUCUAGAGCAUGUAUAACAAAGUUUUAUGUUAACAAUUUGAAGUUUGAUUAAUUAUUUGUCGCUACAAAAUUGCGUUGCAAGUAAAUGGUUUAUUG